UACAGAGGUCUCAACCGUUGUUCGGAUUCAUUGGGCGUAAAGGGUGCGUAGGCGGUCGCGCAAGUCGGAUGUGAAAUCUUGGGGCUCAACCCCGAAACUGCAUUCGAUACUGCGUGGCUCGAGUACUGGAGAGGAGACUGGAAUUUACGGUGUAGCAGUGAAAUGCGUAGAUAUCGUAAGGAAGACCAGUGGCGAAAGCGAGUCUCUGGACAGUUACUGACGCUGAGGCACGAAGGCCAGGGGGAGCAAACGGG
rnacentral:rRNA from 1 species